CAAUAGCGUAUAUUUAAGUUGUUGCAGUUAAAAAGCUCGUAGUUGGAUUUCGGGUGGGACGCAGCGGUCUCGCAUUGCGUUUGUACUGCUGCAGCCCUCCUUCUUGCCGGGGGCGGCCUCUCGGACUUCACUGUCUGGGGGUCAGAAUCGGCGAUGUUACUUUGAGUAAAUUAGAGUGUUCAAAGCAAGCUUACGCUCUGAAUAUAAUAGCAUGGGAUAACACGACAGGACUCAGGCCUAUCGUGUUGGUCUAUAGGACCAGAGUAAUGAUUAAGAGGGACAGUCGGGGGCAUUCGUAUUCCGUUGUCAGAGGUGAAAUUCUUGGAUUUACGGAAGACGAACAUCUGCGAAAGCAUUUGCCAAGGAUGUUUUCAUUGA
rnacentral:rRNA from 1 species